AUUGAACGCUGGCGGCAUGCCUUACACAUGCAAGUCGAACGGUAACAGGUUAAGCUGACGAGUGGCGAACGGGUGAGUAAUGCAUCGGAACGUGCCCGGUCGUGGGGGAUAACGCAGCGAAAGCUGCGCUAAUACCGCAUACGAUCUGAGGAUGAAAGCGGGGGACCGUAAGGCCUCGCGCGAUCGGAGCGGCCGAUGUCAGAUUAGGUAGUUGGUGGGGUAAAGGCUCACCAAGCCAACGAUCUGUAGCUGGUCUGAGAGGACGACCAGCCACACUGGGACUGAGACACGGCCCAGACUCCUACGGGAGGCAGCAGUGGGGAAUUUUGGACAAUGGGCGAAAGCCUGAUCCAGCAAUGCCGCGUGCAGGAAGAAGGCCUUCGGGUUGUAAACUGCUUUUGUACGGAGCGAAAAGGCCUCCUCUAAUACAGGGGGCUCAUGACGGUACCGUAAGAAUAAGCACCGGCUAACUACGUGCCAGCCGCCGCAGUAA
rnacentral:rRNA from 1 species